GAAACGACUGCUAAGACUGGAUAGGAAGUUUUAAGGCAUCUUGAAACUUUUAAAAGACCCGCAAGGGUAUGCUGAGAGAUGGGCUUGCGGCACAUUAGUUAGUUGGUAAGGUAACGGCUUACCAAGACCAUGAUGUGUAGCUGGACUGAGAGGUUGAACGGCCACAUUGGGACUGAGAUACGGCCCAAACUCCUACGGGAGGCAGCAGUAAGGAAUUUUCGGCAAUGGAGGAAACUCUGACCGAGCAACGCCGCGUGAACGAUGAAGUAUUUAGGUAUGUAAAGUUCUUUUAUUAAAGAAGAAAAAAUGAUGGAAAAAUCAUUCUGACGGUAUUUAAUGAAUAAGCCCCGGCUAACUAUGUGCCAGCAGCUGCGGUAAUACAUGGGGGGCAAGCGUUAUCCGGAUUUAUUGGGCGUAAAGGGUGCGUAGGCGGUUUAAUAAGUCUAUGGUCUAAGUUCAACGCUUAACGUUGUGAUGCUAUAGAAACUGUUUGACUAGAGUUGGAUAGAGGCAAGUGGAAUUCCAUGUGUAGCGGUAAAAUGCGUAAAGAUAUGGAGGAACACCAGUAGCGAAGGCGGCUUGCUGGGUCUUAACUGACGCUGAGGCACGAAAGCGUGGGGAGCAAACAGGAUUAGAUACCCUGGUAGUCCACGCCGUAAACGAUGAGUACUAAGUGUUGGGUUUAACCAGUGCUGAAGUUAACGCAUUAAGUACUCCGCCUGAGUAGUACGUACGCAAGUAUGAAACUUAAAGGAGUUGACGGGACUCCGCACAAGCGGUGGAUCAUGUUGUUUAAUUCGAAGAUACACGAAAAACCUUACCAGGUCUUGACAUACUCUGCAAAGCUAUAGAAAUAUAGUGGAGGUUAUCAGGGAUACAGGUGGUGCAUGGUUGUCGUCAGCUCGUGUCGUGAGAUGUUGGGUUAAGUCCCGCAACGAGCGCAACCCUUAUCGCUAGUUACCAUCAUUUAGUUGGGCACUUUAGUGAGACUGCCAAUGAUAAAUUGGAGGAAGGUGGGGAUUACGUCAAAUCAUCAUGCCCCUUAUGACCUGGGCUACAAACGUGAUACAAUGGCUGUUACAAAGAGUAGCUGAAGCGUGAGUUUUUAGCAAAUCUCAAAAAAACAGUCUCAGUUCGGAUUGAAGUCUGCAACUCGACUUCAUGAAGUCGGAAUCGCUAGUAAUCGCGAAUCAGCAUGUCGUGGUGAAUACGUUCUCGGGGUUUGUACACACCGCCCGUCA
rnacentral:rRNA from 1 species